rnacentral:rRNA from 1 species
AGGCAGCAGUGGGGGAUAUUGCACAAUGGGGGGGAACCCUGAUGCAGCGACGCCGCGUGGGUGAAGAAGCGCCUCGGCGCGUAAAGCCCUGUCAGCAGGGAAGAAAAUGACGGUACCUGAAGAAGAAGCCCCGGCUAACUACGUGCC